rnacentral:rRNA from 1 species
UACGGAGGGUCCAAGCGUUGUCCGGAAUCACUGGGUGUAAAGGGUGCGCAGGCGGGCUUGUAAGUCAGGGGUGAAAGCCACCGGCUCAACCGGUGAAUUGCCCUUGAUACUGCAAGUCUUGAGUCCUGGAGGGGCUGUCGGAAUUCGUGGUGUAGCGGUGAAAUGCGUAGAUAUCACGAGGAACACCGGAGGUGUAAACGGACAGCUGGACAGGUACUGACGCUCAGGCACGAAAGCGUGGGGAGCGAACAGGAUUAGAAACCCCGGUAGUCC